rnacentral:tRNA from 1 species
AGCGGCGUAGCUUAGUCGGGUAAAGCAGCUGGUUCAUAUCCAGAAGAUCGCUGGUUCAAAUCCAGCCGCCGUUACCA